rnacentral:lncRNA from 1 species
CCAGAUAUUGCAAUGUUGAGAUGGAUUGCUUAUAUUAAGUCACUAAAUCCAGAAUUUAAGCAUAUCACUGGAAAGGACAAUUUAGUAGCAGACAUGCUAUCUCGAGCAAGAUACGAGAGGGAGGACGAAAUGGUUGAAGACAUUGAUGAUGUCGGAUUGAAAUUCUAUUCAAUAUCAAAUCUCAACAGAGAAGAUAAGCUAUUUCUUG